AAUAGGAGAAUGACAAAUCAGAUUUUUCCUCCUGAUUUUCAGAUUUUUCUCCUGAAAAAAUUCAAAUCCAAUUAAAAAUGCUAAAAAUGAGGAGAAAAAAUCUAAUUUAUCAUUCUCCUAUU
rfam:Gossypium hirsutum cultivar TM-1 unplaced genomic scaffold scaffold1251.1, whole genome shotgun sequence